AUUGAAUUAUCUUAAAAGAAAAGUAUAGUAUUGAAGAUGCUAUUAUAAAAUAUUUUUAUUCAAUA
rnacentral:tRNA from 1 species